AGCCCCGUASUGAGUUACACGUCAAAUUGCAAAUUUGAAAACGCUAUUUUCUUUU
rnacentral:tRNA from 1 species